rnacentral:rRNA from 1 species
GUGGGGAAUAUUGGACAAUGGGCGCAAGCCUGAUCCAGCAAUGCCGCGUGUGUGAAGAAGGCCUUCGGGUUGUAAAGCACUUUUAUCAGGAGCGAAAUACUACCGGUUAAUAACCGGUGGGGCUGACGGUACCUGAGGAAUAAGCACCGGCUAACUUCGUGCCAGCAGCCGCGGUAAUACGAAGGGUGCAAGCGUUAAUCGGAAUUACUGGGCGUAAAGGGUGCGUAGGCGGUUCGUUAAGUCUGUCGUGAAAUCCCCGGGCUCAACCUGGGAAUGGCGAUGGAAACUGGCGAGCUAGAGUGUGUCAGAGGAUGGUGGAAUUCCCGGUGUAGCGGUGAAAUGCGUAGAGAUCGGGAGGAACAUCAGUGGCGAAGGCGGCCAUCUGGGACAACACUGACGCUGAAGCACGAAAGCGUGGGGAGCAAACAGGAUUAGAAACCCCAGUAGUCC